rnacentral:lncRNA from 1 species
UUUUUUUUUUUUUUUUUUUUGGUUUUUCGAGACAGGGUUUCUCUGUAUAGCCCUGGCUGUGGCUGUCCUGGAACUCACUCUGUAGACCAGGCUGGCCUCAAACUCAGAAAUUUGCCUGUCUCUGCCUCCCAAGUGCUGGGAUUAAAGUCAUGAGCUACCACACCCGGCUCUAAUGUUGGUUGUCUUGACCAGCUCUGGAAUAACAUGCCUCCUCAUAGCCUUUUUUUUUAAUUCUCCACAAAGCACGCAGAUCAAUAAAGUUAGAUAUAAAAGAUACUGUGGUAUUAACUAAAAGACCAAGUUUCUAGUCCCAGAUUGACUCAGCAGCAACUUUGUUUUUGUACAAAUUGCAGUAUUCCUCCUCCAGGGGAGACUUAUUGCUGAAUGAAUGUUUUUCUGGCUGGGGUUGGAGAGGGGACAUAGGCAGGCAUGUGCGUGAGACUCGCCUGAAUCCCAAGCACUCGCAGGCUGAGGCAGGAUGACGGUGAGUUUCAGGUUAGCCUGGGCUCCGAACCAAACAUUAAACAAAACAAAAGACCAAAGCAACAACAAAAACAGGUAGCUGCUGAGUUUACUGUGGUUCAGCCUCCUAUGGUUUCCUUGCGUGGGAACCAGCAGAUCUGAUGAAAGCUGCAUUUGCGUUUCUGAUCAUCUAUUAGUGCUCCAGUUUGCUCCUUUCACCCAUCCACGUGAGAACAGAGGCAGACAACCAUAUUCUAACUGGGAUAGUCAGUACGUCUGCUGUGCUAAAUAAUAUUUUAAACGUAUUUUUACGUGCAGUCAUGUUAUUGGGAGGUUGAAGAUCAUAUUUAUCUAAACGGUUUUCAAGGUUUUUUUCCCCCUCAGAGAGAGACAGAGGAGAAGGGGAGAGGGAAGGAGAGAGAGAGGAGAGUAUUAAAAUCGGUGUUGGUACUUUUCCCAUCCCUGUGCCUAUAGAAUCUCUUGGCUGGUGCUAAUUCUGUGAAACUGCUCUCUUAAAUCGUCUCUAGCAGGGUUGGUAACUCACUGACUGUCCAGCAUUGGGAAGGUCAAGUCAGGCUAACGGGGAGCUCAGGGUCAUCUCUGGCUGUACGGUGAGCUUUAGGCCCCUCUGUCCCCGACCCCAAUGGCACGGCAGUGUCGCUGCGGCACUUGGUAGACUAGAGGCUCUGUGGAUGUUUAUGCUCUGUUCCAGUUGUUCAUUUGGUGAUUAGACAGGUGGAGAGACUGAUGUCAUAGGAGCAGAGGCAGAGGCCAUGCAUUGUUAUCAUUGUAGUUUCAGAACCUAGCACAACUUGCAAAGCUAACUACAAAUAGCAGUGGCCAGUUAGUUCUAAUAAUUUAAGUAUUACCCAUUUUUCAACCACUUAAAUUACAACUCAGAGUACAAUUUAAUACUCUCUAAUUCAUUCAGUAGUCAAAAUUUAAAACUAAUGGUUUCUGUCAGAAUUCUCCCUGUGAUAGUAUUCUUGGAAUCUUGAAUACAAAGCAGAGACAAGAAACUUCUAAUCCCCAAAGCUAUAGAAAAGUCACAGGCUGAGUGGAGAACAUAUGCUUCGUAAGGGAGCCGGCAUUUCCUGGGUAGGCUUUCUGCCCUCCCUAAAACUUCCAUUGACAACAAAUUCCAAAGCUUCCGGCAUACUUUAAAAGAAACUGUCUUUAGGGUGAGGGCUUUUCCCCCUGUUUUAGGAGAUAAGUCAAUAAGCUUAUCUCCUAAACACAUUAAACUUAAGAGAAGAAUAAUAGUAAAAAUCUUUAAUACUUGUUUACAAUUAUAAUUUUCACAACACUUAUUAAUUACAUUUUAUUCUUACGGAUUAUAUACUUAAAGUGUAUAUGCAUGGAAACUUUCCAUUUCUUUUAGUCCAAUCAUAAAUUACAUGCUAGAUAAAUGUACAACCUACUGAAUCAUGCCUUGGGAUCAGUGAUUACAAAACUAAAAAUGAGGCUGGGCAGGGUGGUCCACACCUUUAAUCCAGACACUCGAGAGGUCGAAAUAGGUGGAUCUCUCGGGGUUGGAGGCCAGCCUGACCUACACAGCAAGUUCUAGGACAGCCAGAGAUAUGUAAUAGAGAAACCCUGUCUC